GUCACAUUUACGUGCAAUAUGGCCGCAAAUCACGGCCUGUCACCUUAGAACAUGUCUAUAUGCUCUAAGUCUGUCACUAAGCAGCGAGUACGUAAAAGUAGUAGGGUUAUCACAUCAUAAAUAUAAUCAUACUUUAAAAAUAAGACGAAGCUUUGCAUGAAGUGACGUGAAGUUUGUACAAAUCAAGAUAUCUCCGUUACCAAAGGAUGAACCAUCAUGUUUUAAAACAUCUUUUCGAUUGCAACUGCCGGCGAUACUCUUUGAAAAGUUCAUAAGCCGAACAAUAAUGCACUUAUUUAUGCACUUAUAAUGCAUUUAUUUAAUGAUUUGCAUGUGAAAAAUACACAAUGGCUUAAUCACUUUGAUGAAGGAGGGAUUACAUCAUUGAUGCAUUUAAAGUAAUGACAUGUGCUAAUCGAUAAUACCAAUAUACCUGGAGAAGUGUUAAAUGUCUCUACACAUCAAUGUUAUACCACAAGAAGUAAUGCAUUCAUCUGUAGUUGUAGCGAAUAUGUCAAUGGAUUGUGUCAGUACAGUUAUUCAAAAAGUGUCGAAUAUUCCAAUGCAUAUGAAAAUUACAUCGGAAAAAAUGAUUCCUUCAUGUACAGUUAUAGAAAAUGUGCCAAUGAAUUUUGUCGAUGUGUUUAAAAAAAUAUCAACUGCGUCAACAUAUAUCAAUGUCGCAUCAAAAGAAAUUAUAGAUGCAUUAAAGAAUAUUAUGAAUGUAUGUAAUAUAGACAAUACUUUACAUGUGACACCAAGUGCAUCAUCUGUAACAAAUCUCCAUAGCUCCAAUAAAGGUGUUGACUCCAUAAAAAACUUGCAACAAGAAUUGGAAACCUUGAAGAAGAAACUUGCAAAAUUCAAACUACAAGAGAAGUUGAAUAGAGAUGAAGUUACAUUUAUAUUAUUACUCUAGUAUUUACUGAAUUUGCAUACAUGUAUUUUAUUUGCUUUACGUUUUCAGCAAGAAUCUUAAAUUACAAGAGAUUGCAGUGAAGGAAAAAUUGAAGGCAGCAAGAACAAAAUUUAUCUUGGUACAUUGAAAUGUGAAGUCAAAAUGUACACAAAUCUUUACGUCGAGUCAAAUAUGAAUAUUAUUGAAUCUUAAUGCGACACGCAUAAACUGGUCUUCAGAAGAUAUAGCGAGCGCUAUGUCUUCACGAUGCAUCAGUCCCAAAGCUUACCGAUACAUGAGAAGUAUUAUAAAAAUGCUUCUCCCUGUUUUUUCAAUUCUGAGAAGAUAUGCCACACUUGUUCGAGUUAGCAAGAAAUCACUUUAUUGAUAAUGAGUUUGGUGUGCGGAGACAUCGCAUGGACAAGAAGUAUAUCGAAUGAAUCUUAAGUAUUUGUGCAAAAGAGAUGUAAAAGUUUCUUACAAUAUUUUCCAAUAUUACCUUCACGUCCAAGGCUAUGAAAGACAAAAAAUUCUUCCUACUAUACUUUAUACAAUUUUUAUACAAUUACUUUCUGAACGAAUAGCUUGCAUUGAAUGGUUUGGACAAAAAACUACUUCAAUAAUUUUGACUAGAAGGAAACAGCCCGCAUUAUCUGCUUGUUUAACGACUGGUUGGAAAUGUUUAAUGCUAAUAGUAUAUAUGGCAAACAUGACGGCAAGAUAGCAUUUUAUAAGAAAUGACCGAACUAAUGAAUGAGAUGACAAUUGAGAUGGAAGGCACAAAAGUUUAAUUACAUUCCAAAAAGGCAUUAUUAUUAGUAACUGUUCUUUGCAGCAAUUUUUGCCAAUUAAGGAAAUGUAUUCCAACAACAAUGUUAAGAUGCAAUACAUUAUUUACCAAACGGUUAAAUCAAGAUGUACUUGAAAACUUAUUUUCAUUAAUCAGAGCUAUUGGUAUUGCAUGCGACAAGCCUAUCGCUCUAGAUUUCAAAUACUGUGUAAAAAAGAUAUGUUUUAGGCAAGUACUCAACCAAUGUGUUUUGUAAUGAAAGGAUUUGUAACGUUUCGGUAGAAUCUAUCUGGCUUUGUAUCCCCUCUUGUCAUAUACUGCCGAAGCUACUGCCGCAUUUUGAUAUAUUACUGCCUUUUGAAGAAGAAUUGCGCAAAAUAUGAUGCAAAAAAUAAUAAUGUAACUGUAUACAAUCUACGAAUAUCGAACUUUGAAAGAAGAGGAAUUUUUCGCUUUUAUACACUGAGAGAAAAAUUUACUAAAUUUUAAUAAAUAAUUGUUUGAAUAGUACUAAUAUAAAUAUAAUAUAAUACAGAAAUCAAACGUGUUAUAAUAGUGCGUACUCUACCGUUGUGCCAUGAGUGAUAAUUUCUAUAAUUCUGUUUUCACUAUACUGAAGAUGGCCCGAAGAGGAGCCGAAACGCCUAUGUAAUAUAAAAAAGAUUUUACGCAUCACUUACUGCAUUAUAAUUCUCAUUAGUCCAUUUGAUUACAUUUAUAAUAAUAGGUAAAUCAAAUAUAUUUAUGGAAAAUGAAUAUUUGCUGAAUCAAAUAUAAUAAUAGGUAUAAAUAUACAAAACUCGAAAUUGUCAAAAAUGUAAUCAAAUGGAGCUAAUAACGCGGUAAGUGAUGCGUAAAAUCUGUAUCAUAUAUCAAGUAUUACAGACGUUUCGGCUUCUCUUCAGUAUACAGUGAAGUCAGAAUUAUAGAAAUUUUCACUCAUGGUAGAAUACUCACUCAAACGAUUUAAAUUCAGUUGACACUUGGUAGAAAGGUCAGAUGGCAACGAACAAAUAAUUGAAACAUGAUUAUUCCGUUCAGUCAAAAAAGCAGUUAUAAAGAAUUAAUCAAAUAGUAAAAAAUAUUGACUAAGAAAAUCUAUCAGUAUUGAAAUCAAACAUGGUAUAGUAAUGGGUACUCUAUCGUUGUAUCAUGAGCGAAAAUUUCUAUAAUUCUUACUUCACUGACUGUAUACUGAAGAUGGCCCGAAGAGAAGCCGAAACAUCUAUGUAAUACUUGAUAUACGAUAAAGAUUUUACGUACCACUUACCGCACUGUAACUCAU